GAGUGAAAUAGAACCUGAAACCGUGUGCUUACAAGUAGUCAGAGCCCGUUAAUGGGUGAUGGCGUGCCUUUUGUAGAAUGAACCGGCGAGUUACGAUUUGAUGCAAGGUUAAGCAGUAAAUGUGGAGCCGUAGCGAAAGCGAGUCUGAAUAGGGCGUUUAGUAUUUGGUCGUAGACCCGAAACCAGGUGAUCUACCCUUGGUCAGGUUGAAGUUCAGGUAACACUGAAUGGAGGACCGAACCGACUUACGUUGAAAAGUGAGCGGAUGAACUGAGGGUAGCGGAGAAAUUCCAAUCGAACCUGGAGAUAGCUGGUUCUCUCCGAAAUAGCUUUAGGGCUAGCCUCAAGU
rnacentral:rRNA from 1 species